ACCUAGGUUUUUUUUUUGUUUUUUGAGGGGAAGGGGAAUUCACCUAGGUGGCAAAUUGGCAAUGAGCUGAUUCUUCUGGGCUGUCCGGCCUACUCAAUUUGUUGGGCCCAAAGCUCCGGGCUGUUCACGUAGCGGGCCUCACUGAGCCUAGGCGAGCUCUCGGGCCGGUCCCAAAAGUAAUAUUUAGUAGAAUUCCACUGAUUCUCAAACAAAAAAUACUACUAGUGGAAUUCCUCUGAAAAAACGUCUUUGCAUACUAGUAGUAGAAUUUUACAGAAUAGAUAUGUUUACAGAGUAUAAGUAGUAGCUAGUGUAUCAGUUUUUUUUUGGCCAUGCAAUCAUUCCUGAAGGUGGCAUAUGCGGUCCUUCAAGAAGGAUGCUGUAAAGAAGUACUCCCUCCAUUUUAUAAUUUUUAUCUCAAAUUUGCCAAAAAUGGAUGUAUGUAUCUAUUCCUAAAAAACGUAUAAAUACAUGUACUUCGACAAGAAUUAUGUAACGGAGAGAGUAUUGUAAUCAAAUCGUUGACGAGCCUAUCAAAUAUCGUGAGGCAUGUCGCAAUGACCUUCCUAGAUCCCGAGAUACACAAUCUAAACUAGAUUGGUAGUGCAAGGAUGCUGACAGCAUGGAAGGGCUUAUCUGAUUAUCCGUGCUCAUCUAAUACAAGGAGAAACAGUUGCUUGGGCACCCACGACACUUGGGCCAUCCUGGGCAUGCAAGCCACCUUCUGACACCGUCUCCAUCCAUGAGCCCUCAUCUCCUCUUUUUUUUUGCCCAAGGCCCGCCAUUUGGCAUCUGGCAAAGCCUUUGAUGAAGGCCGGCCAGUGUGAAUGUCUUCGGCAAAGAAGCCUUCACCGUGAUUUGUUCACGCGGAGGCCCUUUGCCGAAGGCCAUGAGAAAAGGCAUCGAUCCGGCAAAGCCUCUUUGUGCGGUAGUGGGCGACAUUGGCGGAUUAUAUCAUCAGAUGAUGUUGCUCAAACCAAAGUAGUUCAAGAAAUUUUACUCGUACCAAAAGCUUCAAUGUAAUAGUAAGUUGUUCCAUUCAAAUUCAUGUGGUUUUUGAUGCAUGUAGUGCUGUCACUUUAUUAAGAGAGCAUGUUGUCUUAUGCAGGAAAAGACAUUUGGUCCUGAACAAGCAACAAUCAUGAAACACUUGCAAGCAACUGAAAGUAGGACUCAAGAAAUAUGGAGACUUGAAGUAGUAGCUCCAUUGACAACCCUAGCUAGCUAAGGCUAAAAAACGUUUGAUUUACUGAGGAACUACCAGCAGACGGAAAAGAAGUGCAAAAUAGUUGAUGUUGUGGCAAAUCAUCUCGAAGUAAGAUGUUGUGGGGCAAAAUAUUUGCUCAAUCUAAACUUCCUGUGCCCGAAGACCUGGAGGAUGCGCUUAUGGAUGAUAGUGAUUUCAGUCAGAAAAUGGAUGAUGGCUUGUAAGUAGUGAUGUUACUCCUGUUUCUGCCAUGUUUAUAGUUUUCACGUACUUGUCAUGAACUUUUGUCAUUGUAGUUGUGUAUCCAAGUUAAGAGUCUAUGGUGCAUGGAGUGAUUUUUUCAUUCUCUCUGUAGGUGUCCAUUUCAUGCUUCAAGGCAUAUACCAUGCUGAACGAUAUUUUUCCCAUUAUUAAAUACUGUUUUUUUUAA